GACGAACGCUGGCGGCGUGCCUAAUACAUGCAAGUUGAGCGCUGAAGGUUGGUACUUGUACCAACUGGAUGAGCAGCGAACGGGUGAGUAACGCGUGGGGAAUCUGCCUUUGAGCGGGGGACAACAUUUGGAAACGAAUGCUAAUACCGCAUAAAAACUUUAAACACAAGUUUUAAGUUUGAAAGAUGCAAUUGCAUCACUCAAAGAUGAUCCCGCGUUGUAUUAGCUAGUUGGUGAGGUAAAGGCUCACCAAGGCGAUGAUACAUAGCCGACCUGAGAGGGUGAGCGGCCACAUUGGGACUGGGACACGGCCCAAACUCCUACGGGAGGCAGCAGGAGGGAAUCUUCGGCAAUGGACGAAAGUCUGACCGAGCAACGCCGCGUGAGUGAAGAAGGUUUUCGGAUCGUAAAACUCUGUUGGUAGAGAAGAACGUUGGGGGGAGUGGAAAGCUCAUCAAGUGACGGUAACUACCCAGAAAGGGACGGCUAACUACGUG
rnacentral:rRNA from 1 species